rfam:Galdieria sulphuraria unplaced genomic scaffold scaf_8, whole genome shotgun sequence.
GGUCCCAUGGUGUAAUGGUUAGAAACGUUGUUGACCCACACGACAGACUUUGAAUCUGUAGAUCCGAGUUCAAUUCUCGGUGGGACCU